GAAGCCCCACGAGCGCAUCUCGGGUCAGGAGAACGGCUCUGGCUUCUCACAACUGGCAAACGCACUAGGAGAGUCCUAAGGCCCAAAUUUCCGAGUGCCACCCACCACAGUCCUGGGAUGCACAGACUGACCCUCUCUAACCCAGUCCUGGGAUGCACGGACCGACCCGCUCUGACACAGUCCUAGGAUGCACAGAUUCUGCCCUGGACACCCGCGGGCUGGCCAGCGCUUCAAUUCUCUCAAGCUUUUUCUGCGCCUACGCUGAAGCUCCAGCUGUCUACCGACGCCUCAAACUUAGAGAGCUCAACAGCCUCCUCUUCCACACCCGUCUCCUAACAGCAUUCCCCCAGCCCUGCUUCCAGUCUCCAGGUCAGAAAGUCUGGAAUCUCCCACUAGCCACUUGAGCAGGACAUCCUGCCUCCCUAGACUCUGACCCCCUCCGCUCCACCCCACUACUGCCAUGUGAUCCAGGCUCUGCCCAGGCAUGCCUGAUGCUGCCUCCUCCUGUCCCUGGACACAGGCCUCUUGCUGUCCCUACAGUCAGAUGAAGGCACUCAGCUUCUAGGCCUCUGCACCUGCUGAGGUUGCAGGUUCUCCAGACACAGCUUCAAAGCCUGGCUCUACCGGCUGCACUAGGAAAGCCAGGGAGGCAGAAUUGUUCUACCAGAGCAAUCUGCCAAGCAUCUAUCGGAACAAGACUGCUGAGCCCCUGAGAUGCAGUCAACACCUCACUGUGCCCUAUUCUCCUAAGAACAUCGUUUUUAUAUUUUAUCCUUCAUCUUCUUCCAGCUGAAGGUAAGUUCCAGAAAGACUGUUGCAUUAACAUUUUCUCAGGAGAUGUGGACAAACAUCCACAUGCUCCAAGUAGGAGGGCAGCCGCCCACGACAGACCAGCAAUGCCACACAUCUCCCUCAAUGAACCAGUGAGUUUAUUGAACUUACUAUGGUGACAUGCGUGAGGGGCUACUGUCAGCUGGAAUGUGUAUCUCCUCUGCUGCAUGUGGCCUCUGGGAGCCUUGGAGUAUUUGGGAGGCAGAAAAUUAAUGGAAGGGAGGGGCACUCUUAUGAAGCGAUGGGGAGGUCAUUACCCAUGCUGGAUUGAGACCUUUAGGUGAUGUGGCUUUUUUCCCAUCCGGCUAUAAGCAACCCUUCACUCUGGCUCCUAAAAGCAGCUGUAAUAAAAUAGGUUCACCAACCUA